AUUGUUUCUACAAUUGACAUUUUAUGCCAUGAAUGGGGCAUGAGGGAGAAACCUGCGCAGAUCAAGCACUGUUUACAAGCAAAAACAGCUCUAAACAAAUAUGUGGGUGGAUUUUGAUGUGAGAGGACAACAGGAGAUGGACUUCUUCGCCAGAGGAAGCGUUAUUAUGGAUUUUGGACUCAUAUUUUGGCCAAAAGCAAUGGUUUAAAGUUAAAAAAAAAAACCCUAAUGAUGGAUUUGUUUCUCAUAAAGCUUUUCAUAAGACGUUAACUGAUGGACUAGAGUGGUGUGGAUUAUUGUGAUGUUUUUAUCAGCUGUUUAGACUCUCAUUCUGACGGCACCCAUUCACUGCAGAGGAUCCACUGGUGAGCAAGUGAUGUGAUGAUACAGUUCUUUAAAAUCUGAGGAAGAUACAAACUCAUCUAUAUAUUGGAUGGUCUGAGAAAAUAAAGAGUGCAUUCGAGGGAAUCUUCAGCAGAUGAGCAGGAUGUUCAGAAUGUAAGACUGUAAUGACUCUGUGGAGAAGUCAGCAUCGCAGCCUUCAGUCGCGCACUUGUGCUGUCUUUCUUAUUUAGACAAAAGCAUGACAGGAGUUUUGCGACCCUCCAAACAGAGACCCAGUAUGAAGCGACCUCGAAAUGAGCCUUACAGGGUUUUCGAUUAUCAACAUGUUCCGAUGUCUGUGACGACCAUCCCGUGUGACUUCGCAUCUUUUCGACGGACGUGUUCCUCUCCCUCUUUUUCUUCCGCAGCCCUGCGGCAUAGCAGAGAAAAACCUCAGAGCAGACACAAGUCCAGGAGCAGAGGAACCCAGCUAAGAAUGGAGGAGCUGAUGUGCAUUAAGAAAGAACUGACAGUGAUUAAAUCACAGAUAGACGAGCUGCUGGACAGUCUGGAGCGGAUGGACCCUCAAAGCCAUGAGCUGUCAGGAGACGGCGUGGCGUUCUCUCCGCUCCAUGGCUCUGUGAGCAGUGCGGACGAUUCAUCUGGUAGCUCUCCUCCCCUGAGGACAGACAGAGACACACAGAGCCCAGAGACAGCAGACAGCAGUGAUGAAAACAGACAGCAUGUUAAUUACUAUGAAUCAGAUUUGCUCUACAUGUAAACACAGGUUUCAGAUUCCCAGUUCAGAUACCAAGUUUUUGGGGAAAAGUCACAGGAUCUCUAAUGAUGGUGUAAAGAAAAGCACCGGCAAGUAAGAAAAACAAUAUCUGGAUCAUUUCCAAAUAUCCAGAUCCGUUCAGAGUUUCAUCAUGUGAACUGAACAUUAAUCCAGUUUGAAUCCGGUUGUGGAGCAGCUGUCUAAACAGACCAGAACAAACAGAACUAUGUGUCGUCAAACGCUGCUGAUGAUUUCAGGAGUUAUUUGAACACAAGCUGUUUUUCCAUUAUUAAAGUCAAUACUGAUACGACUCAAGAUCAACAUUAAAGGAUACCACACACACACACACACACACACACACACACACAAACACACACACAUACAAUGUUAUUGCAGAUAUCCUACAUAAAUCAUUUUAUGGUUCUACACAACAUUUGUCAACUGAUAUGGGUUAUUAAAUUGCUGAUGCUAAUAAGGAUAUCUAAAUGUCUAUCAACUGAUAGACCCUGAUAUAUUAAAAAAUUGCUAAAUUAUGUGUAUUUAUGAGCCAUAUCUGAAACUUAAGAUUUAAACUGAGAUGUACAUAAACUCUUAUCUUAACCCAAAUGUCAUUCAAAUUCACAUAAUGUAUAAUAAUUAUUCAUACAGUAAUUCAUAAUUUUGUUUAGUCCAUCAUCUACCUCUGUUACCAACUAGACAUGGUUUCUGCUCAUUGCAAGUGAUAUGUAAAUAUCUCCUCAUUAACAGCUCUGGCCAGUUUAGUGUUAAGACUAGAUUUACUGUAUGAUCAGGAAAAGGUUUUGUUGUUGUCCACACACUUGUUUGUUUUUUAAUAAGGCAUACAAUAAUAAAGUGGUUUUCUGCUGCA
ensembl:lncRNA